rnacentral:rRNA from 1 species
GAUGAACGCUGGCGGCGUGCUUAACACAUGCAAGUCGAGCGAAGCAAUCUAAGUGAAGUUUUUGGAUGGAUCUUGGAUUGGCUGAGCGGCGACGGGUGAGUAACGCGUGGAUAACCUGCCUCACACAGGGGGAUAACAGUUAGAAAUGACUGCUAAUACCGCAUAAGCGCACAGUACCGCAUGGUACAGUGUGAAAAACUCCGGUGGUGUGAGAUGGAUCCGCGUCUGAUUAGGUAGUUGGUGGGGUAACGGCCCACCAAGCCGACGAUCAGUAGCCGACCUGAGAGGGUGACCGGCCACAUUGGGACUGAGACACGGCCCAA